rnacentral:rRNA from 1 species
GAACGCGAAGAACCUUACCAGGUCUUGACAUCCCUCUGACCUCUCUAGAGAUAGAGAUUUCCUUCGGGACAGAGGUGACAGGUGGUGCAUGGUUGUCGUCAGCUCGUGUCGUGAGAUGUUGGGUUAAGUCCCGCAACGAGCGCAACCCCUAUUGUUAGUUGCCAUCAUUUAGUUGGGCACUCUAGCGAGACUGCCGGUAAUAAACCGGAGGAAGGUGGGGAUGACGUCAAAUCAUCAUGCCCCUUAUGACCUGGGCUACACACGUGCUACAAUGGCUGGUACAACGAGUCGCAAGUCGGUGACGGCAAGCUAAUCUCUUAAAGCCAGUCUCAGUUCGGAUUGUAGGCUGCAACUCGCCUACAUGAAGUCGGAAUCGCUAGUAAUCGCGGAUCAGCACGCCGCGGUGAAUACGUUCCCGGGUCUUGUACACACC